rnacentral:lncRNA from 1 species
AGAACAGGAUUUCUGAGCAUGCAGUCAUAACUCUAGGUCAUUCAUUAAUUUCAGGCCCUGCUAGCAGAUACCAAGGAUGACAGUGAAAACAGUCACACGGAAGAAGGAGGGAGGGAGGACCGUGCACUACAAAGAACUCUUUUACACCGAGUUGAGAAAUCAUCGGGUUGUUAGAAUUGGACAGAACAUUUAACUCCCAUUCCUUUAUCAUCUAAAAUCUGAUAUCAUGUCAUUUGGUUCACUUCCUACAAAUAAUUACCUUUUGGCUACAUCAAGGUUAUAAUGAUAAGUUAUCAUUUCGGAGCCCAGACUACAGCCCUCGAACCAAGCUAAGUGACUUAAGUGUGCCAUCUCAUUUAACCCCCACAAAGAUUAUACUUGGCCAGGCUGAUAUCACUUAUUUCAUUUCACAGAUGAGGAUAUUGAUCUCAUGGUCACAAAGCUAGUAAACGGCCGAGAAUCACGCCUCGGUCUGUCCAGCUUCAAAACCUGGAUCCAUCACCAUGACACGCUGCUGAAUGAGGCCCGGGUUCGAGAGUAUCACACUUUAAAAAUAUCAUGAUGCAGAUGAGGAUGUGGUACAGUGAUGACUACCAUGUACACAGUACAUUCUAGACACACACUGUCCCCAAGUGCUUCUCUGCAUCUUCACUUAGUCCCCACUGCAACCCCAUGAGGCCAGCACUGUGACUGGAGGAUGCUGAGAGCAGUGAGGUGAAAUAAGCUGCCCGGCGUCACACAGCUGGGAACUGGCAGAAUUGGGAUUCCAGCUCAGGGAAGCGCCCAUGCUCUUAACUCUUAGGCUACACUGCCUGGCUCUUGGGUGGGGGAUCACUGCAGACAGAGUUAAGCUUUGGUGUGUGGGGGGCGGGGGAGGCAGGGGGAGGGGCAGGUGCUUCAAAGAUGGAAGGGAACACAGAGAAGGGACUUUGCCAACUAAUAUUAGCACAAGUCACAUACUGAGACGAAGGUUUUAAAGAGGAUUUUUUUCCCCCGCUAUUUGAGUUCAUGAGAAGAGUUUGUUACCUAUUGAACAAAUAGUCUUCACUAAUAAAGAACAAUGUGACAAGAAGUCAGCACUGUUCUUAGAUAACUGGGGACACAGGGAGGGCACUCCAGUGUUCCCAUGGAAGGAAUGAAUUCGGGCACAGUCCGUCCCGUGCAACUCCCCUAGGGAGAGAAGGGGCAACUGGAUUCCUCUCGACAAACUAGAAACUUUGUGACAAUGACAAGCUGUUCCCACCCCGGCCCUCCCCUAGGAUGCUGGAGAGCCCAGAGAGGGAAGAGAAGAAACCCAGCGUUGGUGCGGUGCCCACCGCGGACUCGACUUCAUUCCACCUUCACGCUGAGAGGUGACACCGUCGUUCCCACAGUGAGACCUGGCGCUCGGGUGCCCCAGGGGGGGUUGCCCAAGGUCACAGAACAGCAAGCAGCAGGCCAAGAUACCUAGAGAGAGUUCGCGGGGCCGGAGGCUCCCUGCUGUCUCCUGCAAGUGCGUGGGGGUGGGGUCUGAUUUCCACCCGUGUUGGACGUCAGCGGCCUCCGACGCUUUUUGGAAGCAGACUUUUCAGGAACACCUGCUGUGUGGCCGGCACUGUAGUAGGUGCCAGGGAUACAAAGAAGAAACUUUCAGGGCUCUUAGGAAGACAGGAAAACAAGUCAAUCAGCAAUGGUCCUAGCGUGAGCCUAUAACUCAGCAUGAACAUCGGCCUUCCGGGUGUUGUGUUCAUCAUGAAUGAGAAGACGUGCAACCUGGUGUAUGGGGGCCGGAGUAAGGGCCUAAGACAAGCUCAUCCACACAUGACCUUGACAUGAAAACGGUGUGGACUCGGCUAACUUGGCUUCACCCUGCGUUCCCCAACAGCACUUUGUGAACCACUCUCUCAGUCUUUUUCUUUCAGUAACGUUUUGUGUCCUCCCAAAUUAUAAAAGUAAUGCAUGCUUUACUCAGCUACUCUCAAUACAGAAAAGUUCAAAACAAAAAACCAAACAGCCAUGUGUAGUGGCUCAUGCCGGUAAUUCCAGCACUUUGGGAGGAAAA